CGUGUAGGCGGAUUACUAAGUUGGCUGUGAAAGCUCCUGGCUUAACUAGGAGAGGUCGGUCAAUACUGGUAGUCUAGAGUAUGUGAGAGGGAAGUGGAAUUCCGGGUGUAGUGGUGAAAUGCGUAGAUAUCCGGAGGAACACCAGAGGCGAAAGCGGCUUCCUGGCACAUUACUGACGCUCAGACGCGAAAGCUAGGGGAGCAAACAGGAUUAGAUACCCUGGUAGUCC
rnacentral:rRNA from 1 species